rnacentral:rRNA from 1 species
AACGAACGCUGGCGGCAUGCCUAACACAUGCAAGUCGAACGAGACCUUCGGGUCUAGUGGCGCACGGGUGCGUAACGCGUGGGAACCUGCCCUUAGGUUCGGAAUAACUCCCCGAAAGGGGUGCUAAUACCGGAUAAUGUCUUCGGACCAAAGAUUUAUCGCCUUUGGAUGGGCCCGCGUUGGAUUAGCUAGUUGGUAGGGUAAAAGCCUACCAAGGCGACGAUCCAUAGCUGGUCUGAGAGGAUGAUCAGCCACACUGGGACUGAGACACGGCCCAGACUCCUACGGGAAGCAGCAGUGGGGAAUAUUGGACAGUGGGCGAAAGCCUGAUCCAGCAAUGCCGCGUGAGUGAUGAAGGCCUUAGGGUUGUAAAGCUCUUUUACCCGGGAUGAUAAUGACAGUACCGGGAGAAUAAGCGCCGGCUAACUCCGUG